GAUGAACGCUGGCGGCGUGCUUAACACAUGCAAGUCGAACGAGAAAUGGAGACGGAAACCUUCGGGCGGAAGGCUUCAUUUCGAGUGGCGGACGGGUGAGUAACGCGUGGGUAACCUGCCUCAUACAGGGGGAUAACAGUUGGAAACGACUGUUAAUACCGCAUAAGACAACAGCACCGCAUGGUGCGGGGGUAAAAACUCCGGUGGUAUGAGAUGGACCCGCGUUCGAUUAGCCAGUUGGCGGGGUAACGGCCCACCAAAGCGACGAUCGAUAGCCGAUCUGAGAGGAUGACCGGCCACAUUGGGACUGAGACACGGCCCAAACUCCUACGGGAGGCAGCAGUGGGGAAUAUUGCACAAUGGGGGAAACCCUGAUGCAGCGACGCCGCGUGAGUGAAGAAGUACUUCGGUAUGUAAAGCUCUAUCAGCAGGGAAGAAAAUGACGGUACCUGAGUAAGAAGCCCCGGCUAACUACGUG
rnacentral:rRNA from 1 species